AACGAACGCUGGCGGCAUGCCUAACACAUGCAAGUCGAGCGAGACCUUCGGGUCUAGUGGCGCACGGGGGCGUAACGCGUGGGAACCUGCCCUUAGGUUCGGAAUAACUCCCCGAAAGGGGUGCUAAUACCGUAUAAUGUCUUCGGACCAAAGAUUUAUCGCCUUUGUAUGGGCCCGCGUUGGAUUAGCUAGUUGGUAGGGUAAAAGCCUACCAAGGCGACGAUCCAUAGCUGGUCUGAGAGAAUGAUCAGCCACCCUGGGACUGAGACGCGGCCCAGACUCUCACGGGAGGGAGCAGUGGGGAAUAUAGGAAAAGGGGCGGAAGCCUGAUGCAGAAAUGCCGCGUGAGUGAUGAAAGUCUUAGGGUUGUAAAGCUCUUUUACCCGGGAUGAUAAUGACAGUACCGGGAGAAAAAGCUCCGGCUAACUCCGUG
rnacentral:rRNA from 1 species